rnacentral:rRNA from 1 species
CCCUUAGAUGUUCUGGGCCGCACGCGCGCUACACUGAUGCAUUCAACGAGUUUCUUCCUGGUCCGAGAGGAAUGGGUAACCUUUUGAAAGUGCAUCGUGAUAGGGAUAGACUAUUGCAAUUAUUGGUCUUCAACGAGGAAUUCCUAGUAGACGUAGUUCAUCAGACUGCAUCGAUUACGUCCCUGCCCUUGGUACACACCGCCCGUCGCUCCUACCGAUUGAAUGCUCAGGUGAGCCAUUCGGACUUUCAUCAUGCUGGUUUCCAGUUUUGAUGAAGGAAAGUCUUGCGAACCUUAUCAUUUAGAGGAAGGAGAAGUCGUAACA